GAGUCUCUCCGUAGCUCAGUGGUUAGAGCAUCCGACCGGUGUACGGAAGGACAUGGGUUCGAAUCCCGUCUGGACUCA
rnacentral:tRNA from 1 species